AGUUUCAGCACCCAGGACAGGAGCCUGUGGCUUCAGCACCUGGGAGAGCGUGAAUUCAGCACCAAGGACGGUGUCUGUGGGUUCAGCACCUGGGACAGCGCUCACGGUCCAGGAUCUGGGCUUGUCUGUCGAUUCAGCACCUAGGACAGCACCUGAGCUCAGCCCCUCGUUCAGUGGCUUGUAGAUCCAGCAACCAAGACAGUGCAUAUUCAGCACCAAGGACAGAAUCUAGGGAUUCAAGGCCUGGGGCCCCACCUGCUUUUCUGCUCUAGACAGAAAGGAGCAGGAGGUGGGGUAUGGGCGUGGAUUUCCGUGGUGAGGUUGGGUUUGUAGCGACAGGCAUGGAGGGUGAGGACCCUCCAUUAGGUGCACGCCUCUCUCCUCCCUCUGCUCGGCUGUCCCCUAUUCUUGCAUUACCGCUGCUCCUUGGGCUGAGCAGCGCCCCCGCCCACCUUGCUACCUGGCCGCCAGACUGUUGUCCAUUGACCUGGGGACAUACCUAAGCCCUCACCGGGCAGAAAACCAACCAACAGGUCAUGUAGCCGUGGAGGAGCCCGAGGGACUGAGCAGGGGCUGCAGAGUGACAGGAGCCCAGGUGCAGUGCUGACCUAGGAGAACAUGGCGCCAGGUGGCGGUGACAGAGGACAGACUCCCGGCCGCGGCUCUGGGGCACGGACGGAGGGAGGAAGACAGUCUCUUAGUUGGUGCUGUAAACAUCAGAUGGAUGGUUUCUAGCCUGCUCCCCAACCCCCCCUCGGGCUCCUGCACGCCCCACACUGGGGAUCGAGCCCA